AUUAUCUUGGCAGAUUAGUGCAUUAAAUUUAGGAUUUAAUUAUAUAUUAUUAUAAACUUAUAGAUAAUA
rnacentral:tRNA from 1 species